GUAUGGUGGUGGUGGAGACUUGUAGUGAACCUUAGGAGAAGGAGAGUAAUAGGGUGGUGGUGGGGAGCUGUAGACGUAUGGUGGAGGUGGGGACUUGUAGUGAACUUUAGGAGAAGGAGAGUAGUAUGGUGGUGGUGGGGAACUGUAGACGUACGGUGGUGGUGGGGACUUGUAGUAUACAUUUGGAGAUGGUGAGUAGUACGGUGGGGGUGGGGAGCUGUAGACGUACGGUGGUGGUGGGGACUUGUAGUAAACCUUUGGAGAAGGAGAGUAGUACGGUGGUGGUGGGGAACUGUAGACGUACGGUGGUGGUGGGGACUUGUAGUAUACCUUAGGAGAAGGAGAGUAGUACGGUGGUGGUGGGGAGCUGUAGACGUAUGGUGGAGGUGGAGACUUAUAGUAAACCUUUGGAGAAGGAGAGUAGUACGGUGGUGGUGGAGAACUGUAGACGUACGGUGGUGGUGGGGACUUGUAGUAUACCUUUGGAGAUGGAGAGUAGUACGGUGGGGGUGGGGAGCUGUAGACGUAUGGUGGAGGUGGGGACUUGUAGUAAACCUUUGGAGAAGGAGAGUAGUACGGUGGUGGUGGAGAACUGUAGACGUACGGUGGUGGUGGGGACUUGUAGUAUACCUUUGGAGAUGGAGAGUAGUACGGUGGGGGUGGGGAGCUGUAGACGUAUGGUGGAGGUGGGGACUUGUAGUAAACCUUUGGAGAAGGAGAGUAGUACGGUGGUGGUGGGGAACUGUAGACGUAUGGUGGUGGUGGGGACUUGUAGUAAACCUUUGGUGAAGGAGAGUAGUACAGUGGUGGUGGGGAACUGUAGACGUACGGUGGUGGUGGGGACUUGUAGUAUACCUUAGGAGAAGGAGAGUAGUACGGUGGUGGUGGGGAGCUGUAAACGUAUGGUGGAGGUGGGGACUUGUAGUAAACCUUUGGAGAAGGAGAGUAGUACGGUGGAGGUGGAGAAUUAUAGACGUAUGGUGGUGGUGGAGAUUUAUAGUUUACCUUUGGUGAUGGAGUAUAGUAUGGUGGUGGUGGAGAACUGUAAACAUAUGGUUUCGGAUGUGGUGCGUACUUUGGGCCUUUGUGUUCAUAGCUGGGAGAAUCGUAAGCUGGGGUAUGAGGAGAUGAGUAAGGGUAUGAUGUCACUGUAGCCGCAAUAGCACUUAGGACCACAACAUAAACCAUGCAAUUCAUUAAUCCCAUUGUUCUUGAGGAUCUCAUCACACUCUUUUAUUUCUUUGUUUUUGGUUAUGUUAGACUUGAACAUGAACACCCUUUAUAUAGUCUUACUUUGUGUUCUCAACUUGCGUUCGUGUGUGGCACUUCUAAGUACAUUAGAGGACGUGCUAAGUUGUUUGUUUGAAAAUUCGUGAUUCGUGAAGAAUAUGUAAUAAUACUAGAUUCUUGAGCAACCCUCAAUUUUUAAGGAUUAUAAGUUAAAAAAGAAUUAUAUGGUACAAGCUGGUUCUUCUUUGGUUAAGGCAAGUGGAUGCGAAUCGAUCGUGUGAGCAACAUUUGAUUCACAACAUUUCCUCAUGGGCGACCACGUUCAUCCAAAAAAAAAAAAAAAAAAAAAAGCUAAGCAUCUAUUUACAUUAGAGUUGCUUAUGCUGUUUCUUACUUUUUUUUUUAUCUUUUUUUUUAUUGGCAAUAGCCAUUAUUCUUCUAGUAACGUCAUUUGACGGAGCAAAAUAAAUACAUAUAUCAUCCAUUUGAGCCGCAUUUAGACCAAUUAGUGUUUUUUUUUCUUUGUUUGAUAAAAGAUUAGACCAAUAAAGUUUGUAUCGCAAAACUAGCAAUUUCAUGCUUUUUUUUUGCUCUUACGUUGUGUGAUCAACUGAUCAUUAAUUAUCGCACAGUAUAACAUUAGCAAAAGCUUCGUUCAUUCUUUGUAGUGAAUCAAAAGAAAACAAAUAUGACUAUGAUAAACUAACAGAAUCUAUCGUCAAUCUUGCACUUUGUCAUGGAAAGCAGCACUAAUGACAUUUUUUUAAACAAGAGCGUACUUCUAGACGGAAAAACAAAAUCCAAACUAAAAAGAAGAAUCGUGCUGAUGAGGAAACAAAGAAAUUAGGGGAGAAGGUAACUUUAGGGAUCCACCUGAAAACUUGUACUAAAUGCUGUUAAAAAAAAAAACAGAAGAGAAGUAACAUUUUUCUACACAAAGUUGAAGACUCUUGAAAGCAUCAACGAUUUGACCAAAAAAAAAAAUGGAAAGCAUCAACGACAAUAACAAAGAAGAAAUUAAAGAUUCAAGUGCCACUAUUGUUUCAAGAACUUCCCUACUUCACAAGCCCUAGCUAGGUGGCCAUCAAAACGCUCAAUAGAGAACGUCAACGAACCAAACGCUUCAACGUCCAUUCAAACACAGUCGCUUUUUCCACCCCCAACAUUGGUGCUUGCCUGCUUCUAGGUGCAACGAGGAUCGCUUUAGCUUUGAAGCUGCUCAAAUCAACCACACGAGAUUAGGAUUAUGUCGUAGCUAUAACUAAUCCGACCGUUCAUCUUAUAAUAGAUAUAUGCCUUGGCGUUCAUCGGUGAUCACCAGACUAGACCGACGUAUGUCGGGUGGUGGUAGCAGCAGCAUAAGUCUAUUUUACGAUUCCAAGACGAAUGUAUCCUUCUUUUAAUACCUCUAAUUCUUUCUUUUUUUCCUUUAGUUUUCCUCUAGUUUGUUUUGUUUUAAUUCACUUAUGAUGGUUAGUCCCCGUGACACCGUAUAAACUUCACAGUUAAACAAGUUCAAGCAGAUGAAUAGAAAACUCUCAACGGCGAGCUUGUAUGUCUUAAAUAGAACUAGACCUUGUUGAAAAAUUUAUGUGAUACACUCUUCUUCUCCUAUAAAUCUUGACUUUUGAUGUAUUUUAUGUAAUAUACGUCAUAAGUUAGAGAAAAAAAUAAAAAUAAAAAGAGACGCAAGUGAGAAUACUAGGAAUAAGAAAAUAACGAAAUAGCUAAUAUAUGUACUAUAUACAAAUUUUAACGGUUCGAUCUAAAUCUAUCAUAUCCAUAACCUUACCAAAAUUGCUUUUUAACCUUUUUUCAAUGGAUAGCAAAACGGAUAUAUUAGAAAUUUGGAGCCAAUUCGAACAAAUACCAAGGGAUUUUUAAAUAUAGCCAAAUAUUAUUGGUAAAAUAAAAAGCUCAACAAGAUAAAGGAACAAAUUAAAAGAACAAAAUCAGAAGAUUCAAGAGAAAAAAAUCAUAAAAACAAAUUAUUGCAAUCACGUUUCCUUUUAAUGAAACAAUUCAAAAUCAAUAGUAAGGCGCCUUGUAGACAUAUGGGGGUGGUGGAGACUUGUAAGUGACCUUUGGAGAAGGAGAAUAGUAUGGUGGAGGUGGAGAGUUAUACACGUAUGGUGGUGGUGGAGAUUUGUAAUGAACCUUUGGAGAAGGAGAGUAAUAUAGUGGGGGUGGGGAGCUGUAAACGUAUGGUAGUGGUGGAGACUUGUAGUCAACCUUUGGAGAAGGAGAAUAAUAUGGUAGGGGUGGGAAGCUAUAGACGUAUGGUGGGGGGGUAGACUUGUAGUCAACCAUAGGAGAAGGAGAGUAGUAUGGUGGGGGCGGAGAACUGUAAACGUAUGGUGGUGGGGGAGACUUGUAGUUAACCUUAGGCGAAGGAGAGUAGUAUGGUGGGGGUGGGGAGCUGUAGACGUAUGGUGGUGGUGGAGAUUUGUAGUUUACCUUAGGCGAAGGAGAGUAGUAUGGUGGGGGAUGGGAGCUGUAGACGUAUGGUGGUGGUGGAGAUUUGUAGUUUACCUUAGGCGAAGGAGAGUGGUAUGGUGGGGGAGGGGAACUGUAGACGUAUGGUGGUGGUGGAGACUUGUACUCAACCUUUGGUGAAGGAGAGUAGUAAGGUGGGGGAGGGGAGCUGUAGACGUAUGGUGGUGGGGGAGACUUGUACUCAACCUUUGGUGAAGGAGAGUAGUAAGGUGGAGGAGGGGAGCUGUAGACGUAUGGUGGUGGGGGAGACUUGUAAUCAACCUUAGGUGAAGGAGAGUAGUAUGGUGGGGGCGGGGAGCUGUAGACGUAUGGUGGUGGGGGAGACUUGUACGCAACCUUUGGUGAAGGAGAGUAGUAAGGUGGGGGCGGAGAGCUGUAGACGUAUGGUGGUGGGGGAGACUUGUACGCAACCUUUGGCGAAGGAGAGUAGUAUUGUGGGGGCGGGGAGCUGUAGACGUAUGGUGGUGGGGGAGACUUGUAGUCAACCUUAGGCGAAGGAGAGUAGUAUGGUGGGGGUGGAGAGCUGUAAACAUACGGUGGUGGUGGGGACUUGUAGUCAACCUUUGGAG
rnacentral:lncRNA from 1 species